UCUUCCGCAAUGGACGAAAGUCUGACGGAGCAACGCCGCGUGAGUGAUGAAGGUCUUCGGAGCGUAAAGCCCCGUUGUUAGGGAAGAACAAGUACCGUUCGAAUAGGGCGGUACCUUGACGGUACUUAACCAGAAAGCCACGGCUAACUACGUGCCAGCAGCCGCGGUAAUACGUAGGUGGCAAGCGUUGUCCGGAAUUAUUGGGCGUAAAGGGCUCGCAGGCGGUUUCUUAAGUCUGAUGUGAAAGCCCCCGGCUCAACCGGGGAGGGUCAUUGGAAACUGGGGAACUUGAGUGCAGAAGAGGAGAGUGGAAUUCCACGUGUAGCGGUGAAAUGAGUAGAGAUGUGGAGGAACACCAGUGGCGAAGGCGACUCUCUGGUCUGUAACUGACGCUGGGGAGCGAAAGCGUGGGGAGCGAACAG
rnacentral:rRNA from 1 species